AUCCGUGCUGAGAUUUCGUCA
rnacentral:miRNA from 1 species